rnacentral:rRNA from 1 species
UACGUAGGGGGCAAGCGUUGUCCGGAUUCACUGGGCGUAAAGCGCGCGCAGGCGGUCAUCUGCGUCCGGGGUGAAAACCCAGAGCUCAACUCUGGGACUGCCUUGGAUACGGGGUGACUUGAGGAUCGGAGAGGCAAGGGGAAUUCCACGUGUAGCGGUGAAAUGCGCAGAUAUCGGGAGGAACACCUAUGGCGAAGGCAGCUCGCUGGGACGUUACUGACGCUGAGACGCGAAAGCGUGGGGAGCAAACAGG